AUGGCCGAGCGUCUCGCCGCAGCCGCCACCCUCCGCGCCGACGCUCCGUCCGGCCCCUCGCCGGCCGGCCGCCGCGCCAGGCCAUCCAGCUCUGCCUUCUUCCCCUCCUCGUCCUCCCCGGCUCUCCGCCUCGUCAGCCUCCGCGCCGCGUCCUCUCGGCCCUCCCAGAAGGCCAAGUCGGCGGGGAGGGGGCGAUCGGUGAGGUGCAUGGCGGCGGCGUCGGACGCGGCACAGCUGAAGGCCGCGCGCGAGGACAUCAGGGAGCUGCUCAACACAACCCACUGCCACCCCAUCCUGGUUCGUUUGGGUUGGCAUGAUUCUGGCACAUAUGACAAAAAUAUUAAGGACUGGCCAGAACGAGGUGGAGCUAAUGGAAGUUUAAGAUUUGAUGUUGAACUAAAGCAUGGAGCCAAUGCCGGUUUGGUAAAUGCUCUAAAGCUUGUGCAACCGAUCAAGGACAAAUACCCCAGUAUAACUUAUGCGGAUUUAUUCCAGUUGGCAAGUGCUACAGCAAUUGAGGAAGCUGGUGGCCCAAAGAUUCCAAUGAAAUAUGGACGGGUUGAUGUCACAGGACCUGAGCAGUGUCCACCUGAAGGGAAGCUUCCUGGUUAG
rnacentral:rRNA from 1 species